rnacentral:rRNA from 1 species
GACGAAGGGGGCUAGCGUUGUUCGGAAUUACUGGGCGUAAAGGGCGCGCAGGCGGCUCUACAAGUCAGGCGUUAAAGACCCAGGCUCAACCUGGGGAAUGCGCUUGAUACUGUGGGGCUUGAGAUCGGAAGAGGAGAGUGGAAUUCCCAGUGUAGAGGUGAAAUUCGUAGAUAUUGGGAAGAACACCAGUGGCGAAGGCGGCUCUCUGGUCCGAUUCUGACGCUGAGGCGCGAAAGCGUGGGGAGCAAACAGG